UUUCCGUAGGUGAACCUGCGGAAGGAUCAUUAAUGAGUUGUCAUGGGGUUCGAUGCUGGCAGCUAGUUUUUGGAUGCAUGUGCUUGCCCUAACAAUCAUCUUCUUCCAAACACCUGUGCACAUUUUUGAGGGAGUCUUGAGUUGGUUGCCGCUCUUGGGUGAUUUUCUCACAUUCCCUUAAAUCAUUAUACGCUAUUAACAAUGUUGAACGUGCUCUGUGCCGCAAGGCCAUUAAUAUAAUACAACUUUUAACAACGGAUCUCUUGGCUCUC
rnacentral:misc_RNA from 1 species